CUUUAUGACGGAAAGUGGCAUCAGCUCAAAGUCCUGGUGAGACCACGUCAGGUCAGCAGUUUCCUGGACGAUCUGCUGAUCCAGGAAGAACUGCUGGAACCGGUGGAGCCCAUCUACAUCAAUGGAGAGACCCAGGUUGCUAAGAGACGGGGAACCGACCUCCCUGUGGCCGUGGAGAUUCAGAAGCUUCGUCUGUACUGUGACCCUCAUCAGAGCGAGAGAGAAACGGCGUGUGAGAUCUACUCUGUGGACGAUGAAAGGUGUCCUCUGAAUCGAACAGCCACCGCGGAC